rnacentral:rRNA from 1 species
UACGUAGGGGGCAAGCGUUGUCCGGAUUUAUUGGGCGUAAAGAGCGUGUAGGCGGCCAGUCAGGUCCGUUGUGAAAACUCGAGGCUCAACCUCGAGACGCCGAUGGAAACCGACUGACUAGAGUCCGGAAGAGGAGAGUGGAAUUCCCGGUGUAGCGGUGAGAUGCGCAGAUAUCGGGAAGAACACCCGUGGCUAAGGCGGCUCUCUAGUACGGUACUGACGCUGAGACGCGAAAGCGUGGGGAGCGAACAGG